CUGCAUUUUUGUACAUUGCUUUGGGGGCUGGUUCUGAGGCUCUUUUUGAUCUGGAGACCCUAACAUCCUUUCCCUCUCUUUUCUCUUUCAGUUGCCUACAGAUCUGGAAGCCUUGCUGAAAAGACACCUUAAUGGCCUAGCAGCUCUUUUAGGCAAGGAGCAAUUCAGAUGUUGAAUGAUGGAACACAAAAACCCACAGCAGACAUGGUGGCUGAUGCUUGUAAUCCCAGCACUUUGCAAGGUUGAGGGAUCUUACAUAAAAAUCUGGAUUUGUGGCUUCAUUGGAAACAUCUGCAUGACCACAACUGCUGGAGCUGAGAGUCAGCUGCUUGUUCCUGAUCCCAAACCCCAUGACUCCUGGACACCUUCUGCCUCCUACCCCUUAUCUCCCUGGAUUCCCUGAGUGGCUUGCUGCUGGAGGCUGUGAGUACCUAGUUUAUAACCCCAGUUGAUAAAGUGCUUUCACCUGCUUCAUCUCAUUAGACUUUUACCUAUGAGGGAGGUGUUAGUAUUGUUCCCUUUACAGGAGAAGAAACUAAAGCUGAGAUGUUACAGGACCUACUCUGGGUUAGUAAUAACAGCAACCGCAAUAAAUAGUAAUUUGUACUGGCUGUUUACCAUGUGCCAGGCAUUAUUCUAAGCACUUUACAUGUUUAAUUUAAUUCUCUCAAUCUUAUCAGAUAUUGUCAUUAUUCCUAUUUUAUGAAUAAGGAAAUUGAGGUAGUGACAGGUCAAGUAGAUUUCCCAAAGUCACACAGCCAGAAAGCUCAAAAUAAACUGAAGACUUCUGGGUCCUAAUCCACACUUGUUCCAGAGUCCUGCAGUGCAGGCUUUCCUUCCUUUCUCUCUUUCUCUUCUUUAAAAUGGGUGAGUCUAUGGGGCCCAGCUUCUGGUAAGAGUUUGUAAGUGUUGUUUGGUGGGAGGGGUGGGCUCGUGUUUUGUAGGAUUUGUUCCCUGCUGCCUCCUCAGCACCUGCAACAAUGCCUGGCAUGUGGCAAGAGCACAAGAAAGAGUGAAAGCCAAUGGCAACAGGGCAACAUCGGCAGCUUUCAGGGCUCCAGUGUCUCUAAUGAUUGGCACACGGGCGAAGACCUACUACGUGGCAUGCAGUGGGUGGGCUCCCAGCUCUUGAGCAGCUCAAGUCCAGGUGGUACUAGGUAUCAGGAACUUGUAGCCAUCUGGCGGUCUGCCGGUAGCCUGUAGGACUGCUUACAGACUGGGACCAUAGGCUCCCCUGGUCCUUAGGCCUUCAGACUUGGACUGAACGACACCACUGACUUUCCCAGGUCUCCAGCUUGCAGAUGGCAGGAAGAGGUUCUUCCCAGCCUCCACAGUCAUGCCUGCCCAGCUGCUUUAGUGAUUCCGGGUCAGAGUCUUGCAAUCAGAAGCAACUCCCACCCUCAGCCCUCAAAAUGGGCCAUCUCAAAUCUUACUAGCCAAUGGCACUCCAAGGAGAGGGAGGAGCAGUGUCCCUGUCAGGAAUUACACAGAUAUUGUUUGCUCUGCAGACCUGAGCUGCCUCUUAAGGGUGCUGAUUACACAGCCUUCUUCAUCUCAGCCUAUGUCCAGAUGGAUCACAGAAUCCUCACCACAAGGGAGCUGGCCAGCCUGACCUGGAAGGACCAUCCAGAAACUCAACCAAGGCACCACAGACUGCUGGGGAAAGGUUCUUGCUGUUUUAAAUAACAUGUCCAGGCCGGGCACAAUGGCUCACGCCAGUAAUCCCAGCACUUUGGGAGGCCGAGGAAGGCGGAUCACCCGAGCUCAAGAGUUCAAGACCAGCCUGGCCAACAUGGUAAAUCCUGUCUCUACUAAAAAUACAAAAAAAAAAAAAAAAAUUAGCUGGGUUGGUGGCACACACCUGUAGUCCCAGCUACUCGGGAGGCUGAGGCAUGAGAAUCACUUGAACCUGGGUGGCAGAGGUUGCAGUGAGCCGAGAUCACACCACUGCACUCCAGCCUGGGUGACAGACCAAGACUCCGUCUUAAUAAAAAAUAAAUAAAUAAAUAACAAGUCCAUCAUCAGUUAGGCCCUGACCAAAUGGGCUAGGGGACAUGAGGACAGAUGGGGACGGGGAAAAAAAGGAGCAGAUACCUUAGCUCAGGUCCUCAUCCCCAGCUGGGUUCCCUUCUCCUCCAAGGAAUCCUUUCCAGGAGUGGAGAAAGAGGCAUCUCAGUCAGACAGCCAGGGUCCCUGGAGGCCAGACUUUUUCAUCCCCUUUCACAUGUGAAGAGGCUGAAUAAUCAUCUUAUCCCCCUGUAUUAGCUCAUUCUCACAUUGCUAUAAAGAACUACCUGAGACUGGGUAAUUUAUAAAGAAAAGAGAUAGAGCCAGGCAUGGUGGCUCAUGCCUGUAAUCAAAGCACUUUGGGAGGAUGAGGUGGGCAGAUCACCUGAGGUCAGGAGUUCGAGACCAGCCUGGCCAACAUGGUGAAACCCAGUCUCUACUAAAAAUACAAGAAUUAGCCAGAUGUGGUGGCCUGCGCCUGCAAUCCCAGCUACUCAGAAGGCUUAGGCAGGAGAAUCACUUGAACCUGGGAGGCAGAGGUUGCAGUGAGCCAAGAUCCCACCACUGCACUCCAGCCUGGGCAAGACAGUGAGACCAUAUCAAAAAAAAAAAAAAAAAAAAGAAAAAAAAGAAAAAGAAAAAGAAAAAGAAAAAAAGAAAGAAGAAAAGAAAAGAAAGGAAAGGAAAAAAGAAAAGAAAAGAGGUUUAAUUGACUCAUGGUUCCACAGGCUGUACAGGAAGCAUGGCUGGGGAGGCCUCAGGAAACUUACAAUCACGGCAGAAGAUGAAGGGGAAGCAGGCAUGUCUUACAUGGCUGGAGGAGGAAGGAGAGAGAGUGAAGGAGGAGGUGCUACACACUUUAAACAACCAGAUCUCAUGAGAACUCACUCACUAUCAAGAGAACAGCAAGGGGGAAAUCUGCCCCCAUGAUCCAAACCGUGUCACCUGCCUGUAUUAUCUCUGUGUGUGUGUGUGUGUGUGUGUGUGUGUGUGUGUGUGUGUGUGUGUGUGUGUGUGUGAUGGGGUCUCACUCUGUCACCCAGGCUAGAGGAGCAUGAUCAUAGCUCACUCACUGCAGCCUCAAAUUUGAGGGAUCCUCCUGGGCUCAAGCUAUCCUCCUGCCUUAGCC
rnacentral:lncRNA from 1 species